CUACGGGGCGCUGCAGUGAGGAAUUUUGCGCAAUGGGGGAAACCCUGACGCAGCAACGCCGCGUGAGUGAAGAAGGCUUUCGGGUCGUAAAGCUCUGUCAGAUAGGAAAAAAGUUCAUAUGUAAAUAGCUUAUGAAUCUGAUGGUACUAUCAGAGGAAGCACCGGCUAACUCCGUGCCAGCAGCCGCGGUAAUACGGAGGGUGCAAGCGUUGUUCGGAAUUACUGGGCGUAAAGGGCGUGUAGGCGGUAUGGUAAGUCAGAUGUGAAAGCCCUGGGCUUAACUCAGGAAGUGCAUUUGAUACUGCCAUCCUUGAGUAUGGGAGAGGAGAGUAGAAUUCCCAGUGUAGAGGUGAAAUUCGUAGAUAUUGGGAGGAAUACCCGUGGCGAAGGCGACUCUCUGGACCAAUACUGACGCUGAGACGCGGAAGCGUGGGGAGCAAACAGGAUUAGAUACCCCUGUAGUC
rnacentral:rRNA from 1 species